rnacentral:rRNA from 1 species
GUGCUUGCACCUAUCAGUGAGUGGCGAACGGGUGAGUAACACGUGGACAACCUGCCUCAAGGCUGGGGAUAACAUUUGGAAACAGAUGCUAAUACCGAAUAACACUUAGUGUCGCAUGACACCAGGUUAAAAGGCGCUACGGCGUCACCUAGAGAUGGAUCCGCGGUGCAUUAGUUAGUUGGUGAGGUAAAGGCUCACCAAGACAAUGAUGCAUAGCCGAGUUGAGAGACUGAUCGGCCACAUUGGGACUGAGACACGGCCCAAACUCCUACGGGAGGCUGCAGUAGGGAAUCUUCCACAAUGGGCGCAAGCCUGAUGGAGCAACGCCGCGUGUGUGAUGAAGGCUUUCGGGUCGUAAAGCACUGUUGUAUGGGAAGAACAGCUAGAAUAGGGAAUGAUUUUAGUGUGACGGUACCAUACCAGAAAGGGACGGCUAAAUACGUGCCAGCAGCCGCGGUAAUACGUAUGUCCCGAGCGUUAUCCGGAUUUAUUGGGCGUAAAGCGAGCGCAGACGGUUGUUUAAGUCUGAUGUGAAAGCCCGGAGCUCAACUCCGGAAAGGCAUUGGAAACUGGAUAACUUGAGUGCAGUAGAGGUAAGUGGAACUCCAUGUGUAGCGGUGGAAUGCGUAGAUAUAUGGAAGAACACCAGCGGCGAAGGCGGCUUACUGGACUGUAACUGACGUUGAGGCUCGAAAGUGUGGGUAGCAAACAGGAUUAGAUACCCUGGUAGUCCACACCGUAAACGAUGAACACUAGGUGUUAAGGAGGUUUCCGCCUCUUAGUGCCGAAGCUAACGCAUUAAGUGUUCCGCCUGGGGAGUACGACCGCAAGGUUGAAACUCAAAGGAAUUGACGGGGACCCGCACAAGCGGUGGAGCAUGUGGUUUAAUUCGAAGCAACGCGAAGAACCUUACCAGGUCUUGACAUCCUUUGAAGCUUUUAAAAAUAAAAAGUG